GGGCCCGCACAAGCGGUGGAGCAUGUGGUUUAAUUCGAUGCAACGCGAAGAACCUUACCUACUCUUGACAUCCAGAGAACUUAGCAGAGAUGCUUUGGUGCCUUCGGGAACUCUGAGACAGGUGCUGCAUGGCUGUCGUCAGCUCGUGUUGUGAAAUGUUGGGUUAAGUCCCGCAACGAGCGCAACCCUUAUCCUUGUUUGCCAGCACUUCGGGUGGGAACUCCAGGGAGACUGCCGGUGAUAAACCGGAGGAAGGUGGGGACGACGUCAAGUCAUCAUGGCCCUUACGAGUAGGGCUACACACGUGCUACAAUGGCGUAUACAGAGGGCUGCCAACUUGCGAGAGUGAGCGAAUCCCACAAAGCCGGUCUCAGUUCGGAUUGGAGUCUGCAACUCGACUCCAUGAAGCUGGAGUCGCUAGUAA
rnacentral:rRNA from 1 species